UACAGAGGGUGCAAGCGUUGUUCGGAAUUAUUGGGCGUAAAGCGCGUGUAGGCGGCUUUGCAAGUCGGGUGUGAAAGCCCUCGGCUCAACCGAGGAAGUGCGCCCGAAACUGCAGAGCUUGAGUACCGGAGAGGAUGGCGGAAUUCCCCCAAGUAGAGGUGAAAUUCGUAGAUAUGGGGAGGAACACCGGUGGCGAAGGCGGCCAUCUGGACGGAUACUGACGCUGAGACGCGAAAGCGUGGGGAGCAAACAGG
rnacentral:rRNA from 1 species